rnacentral:rRNA from 1 species
UGGGGAAUAUUGCACAAUGGGCGCAAGCCUGAUGCAGCAACGCCGCGUGAGGGAUGACGGCCUUCGGGUUGUAAACCUCUUUUAGUAGGGAAGAAGCGAAAGUGACGGUACCUGCAGAAAAAGCACCGGCUAACUACGUGCCAGCAGCCGCGGUAAUACGUAGGGUGCGAGCGUUGUCCGGAAUUAUUGGGCGUAAAGAGCUCGUAGGCGGUCUGUCGCGUCUGCUGUGAAAACCCGAGGCUCAACCUCGGGCCUGCAGUGGGUACGGGCAGACUAGAGUGCGGUAGGGGAGAAUGGAAUUCCUGGUGUAGCGGUGGAAUGCGCAGAUAUCAGGAGGAACACCGAUGGCGAAGGCAGUUCUCUGGGCCGUAACUGACGCUGAGGAGCGAAAGCGUGGGGAGCGAACAGGAUUAGAUACCCUUGGUAGUCCACGCCGUAAACGUUGGGCGCUAGAUGUGGGGACCAUUCCACGGUUUCCGUGUCGCAGCUAACGCAUUAA